UACGAAGGGGGCUAGCGUUGCUCGGAAUCACUGGGCGUAAAGGGUGCGUAGGCGGGUCUUUAAGUCAGGGGUGAAAUCCUGGAGCUCAACUCCAGAACUGCCUUUGAUACUGAAGAUCUUGAGUUCGGGAGAGGUGAGUGGAACUGCGAGUGUAGAGGUGAAAUUCGUAGAUAUUCGCAAGAACACCAGUGGCGAAGGCGGCUCACUGGAC
rnacentral:rRNA from 1 species